rnacentral:rRNA from 1 species
ACCAGCUGCUAUAUCACCCUACAUCGCACAGCUGGCAGCCUACUGAAGCUCAGCAGGUGUGAGCCUGGUCAGUACCUGGAUGGGAGACCUCCUGGGAAAAACUAAGGUUGCUGCUGGAA